ACGGAGGAUGCGAGCGUUAUCCGGAUUUAUUGGGUUUAAAGGGUGCGUAGGUGGACUGUUUAGUCAGUGGUGAAAUGCUGAUGCUCAACGUUAGCAUUGCCGUUGAAACUGACAGUCUUGAGAGUGAUUGAGGCAGGCGGAAUGUGUGGUGUAGGGGUGAAAAAAAAAGAUAUCACGCAGAACACCAAUGGCGAAGGCAGCUUGCAAAGCCACAACUGACACUGAAGCACGAAAGCGUGGGGAUCAAACAG
rnacentral:rRNA from 1 species